GUGAAGCCUGCAGGUACAGAGACCAACCCUGGCCCAGCUUGCACUGGUGGAGGUGGACUGGGAGAACUGGCAGCCAACACAUUACCCAUGCUGAGAAACCAUGACAGGGGGAGAGAUCACCAAAAUGCACACCAGGUCCCGGCCUGCCCCGUAACAAGCAUGCGGCGUUACAGCAAUUUUGCCACCGGAGGCAAUGACCUGACUGGUUCCUCGUGUUUGUCACACCAACGUCCAUCCUGCGAGUCUGCAGCAGGUUUUUGGCCUCCAGUUGAAACUCUUGCAAAUGGAUUGCCCUGAACAUUGGGUCCUGAUUGAGAGUUCAGUCCUCUGAGCUGCCCGUUCUGCUUGCCG